AUAUUUUAAGGUACUUUUAAGUGAGUAAUAAUGACGUGAUUUUGUUUAUACAUAUUUUAAAAGCAUUUGUGCGUUUUAUAAAAAUCGAUAACAUCUUAUCUUAUCUACCUGAAUCUAUUAUUUUAAAAAGCGCGCCAAACCUUUUAGUCACUCUCAGUUGUUAUAAGUCGGUGCACGUGACAUAGCAGUAAUAAUGUGUUUGAGUUGUGUGUGCAGUUUGCUGUGUAAGCUUAUUAGCUUCUUCCUAUCCCUGAUUAUCAUCGUGGGAAUCAUCUUGAUAAUUUUGUGGCAAACUGGCGUUAUCUUCAAAGAGGACGGUGGCAAUAACAAUACGCUGAAUAGUUUGUUGUCGGGGACGGCGGGUCACUGACACCUGAAUCACGAUUUAAUAAUAAUUAAGUUAGAUUAAUUGUGCCUUUGCAUUAUAUACAGUCCAUUAAACCAGGUGAAGUCGCCGUUAUGUCAACACCAAAAAACAUCUUUAUAAGAGAGUUAAUUUAUUAAAGAAGAUGUGGGUAUGACGAGUUAAUAAUGGUUUUUUCAAAUUAAAAAUUAUUAAACUCGUUAAACAUGCUUUACAUACAUAGAUUUAUGCAUUACAUGUAUAGCUUUAAGGUGAUCAAAUGCAUUUUCUUAUAAAAAACCUAUUCAACAAAAUUAUCUCUGAUAAUAAUUAGUACCUUACCAGGAGGAAGUAUGCAUAUAAUACUACUUAUGAACUAUUUAUUUAAAUGUAGCUAAUAAUAGAUAUAUUUAUGAUAUCUAUUUUUAUUAUAUUUAUAUGAAUAGUAGGCUCUUUAUAUUCAAAUAUGAUUUGUUAUGUUCUACUUAAUUCUCAAGUAAUCUUACUAUUUUUUCUUAAUUUAUCUUUGCUACCAAUGUAUUAGUCCUCUUUAGAUUUUUCUUUUUAUGAUGUAAAGAAAGCACCGUAAUUUUGGUUAUAUCUAAAAUUUUAUGGUCGCAUUUUAACGAUAAGUAUUGUUGAAGGCAUAACAAAAAUGCAAGAUGUAUAAUUGAGCAUUAACUGAGAGCAUUUUUAUUAUAAAGGGAUGGUACUAGCACAAGGUUGUUAUGAGUUCUUGCGCUGUGUUAACCUGUGAUACAUUAUGAAGUGACGUCAUUCAUAGUCUAUUGUUUGUAUUUUCUCAUGCCUAAAUUAUAUUUUAAGUUUAUAAAUAUGUAUAUUAUUGCGUAAAAAAAAUGCAAGAUUAUGUGCAUUACACUUCAAUCUUUUUACGAACAUUCCUGAAAUACCCAUUACAAGAAUUUUUGUAUAACAAGUUUAGCAAUGUAUAAAACGAGAUAUAAGACAAAAUAUUCAUUGUAAACCGAUAUUCUGAAUGGUUCACAUAAUCUUAAUGAAAAAGUUAUUGUGUGAACUAAAUUAUUUUUUUUAAUCUUUUGCAGCAUUUUAUCGUUAUUAAAUAGUCUAUAUAUCAUUGAGCUUCAUUUUAAUCACACUAUAAUAUACCAGAAAGAUUUUAAACAACCUUAUUAUUUUCUUCUUUUCUUGAUGGUAACAAUUGAUUUUAUUUUAUAAAAUUAAGUAUUAUUAAUUUGUAACUUCUCAAAAGUAAACCACAUAAAACCUUUACAAAUAUACAUAAUAAAUCUUUAAAGGUGUCACUAUUUUCAUUCUGACAUUUGGAGAAAGCUAAUAUUUAUUAAACUAUUCCGUAAAUUAACUUGCAAGUUUUUGUUUCUUUGGAUUCGAUUUAAAACUGAGACUCAAAUCAGAGGUUGGAUAUCUUGGGAAUAUAAAAGAUAUUCAACGUCAGAACUAAAUAGUUGAAAAAUAUGUGUUGCAUUUUUAAUUUUUGUUUCCAAACUGUUCAAGCUGCGAUAUAUGUCGCUAUUUUAGCCGGAGCUGGAUAUUUUGUUUAUAAAUACACUAAUGAUUUGAUGGCUGUUUACAAGGUGAUGUAGGACCCAAUAAAUGCGACAUUCUGAUAUUCAUAAAUGACUUACGAAGUAAACGAAAGAAGAAACUUUUAUUACAAUGUCUUGCAGAUAGAAUACGAUACCUACUGCGAGCAAAAUAUGGAACGUAAAGAAUUGGACUUAGUGAAGACAUUCAAGAUUAAAGACAAAAAUUUUCUAUCGGUGUACUGGAAGUUAACUAAUAUAACCAGUACAAGAUUGAAUUUACUACACAAAAAGCCA